rnacentral:lncRNA from 1 species
CUUUAACAGUUUGCUAAACGUCUUUGUUUUAACUUUCAUCUGUGCUAAGUAACUUUAGCUCGUAAGCUAACCUGUUCAGAUACAACAUACCAUAUGUAUUUUCACUGUCUCAAACUCAAUCGUGUUGCUGUCACAGCACCAUUAGGUCUCAGUUGUUACCUUACGUUUAUGGAUUAUAGUUUAAUGUGCUUAUCUGGUACUGGCCCCGACUUAGUACAUGCUAUCAUGACAGACAGCCAUCUCAACACUAGUGUCUAAUCAGAACUGAAAAACAGUCAGUCUGCUGUUGUGUCAGUCUUCUCGCUUUCACCCAGGACGCACCUUUUUCCUCCCGGAAAGUCGCAAAAUCGCAUCGGGCUUGAUGUGUAUAGUCAGG